rnacentral:lncRNA from 1 species
AAUAGUUUAUUUGAGUUUCAACCUCAAUCCCAAACAAGGUUAAACAAAUCAUCAAUUAUCCCAAGAAUUCAUUAAACUAUAGUUCUAGCUCCUCAAUGUUUUUGAAACGCAGCCCCCUCAAUUCAUCGCAUGAACAAAAGACACUACAACAGAAUAGACUUUUCAUGGUGCAAGCAUAACUUCCCCAACAGUACUCGAUUUCAUAGUUAACGCAGUCUAAUUAGGGUUGCGGCUUUGAAUUAACAAACUAGAUAAGAAAUAAUGCCAUGAAAUUUUAAUCUAGCUAGAGAAAGGUGGCGUGCCUUGCCUUUGAUUUUGAUCUAAUUAAUAUAUAGUGUAAUCAACAAUAUGGAAAUGAGCUACAAGCGUAAUUAACAACAAAAUUACCUGUCAUAAUUAACUACAACCAAUGACUGGAAUCAUUAACAACCAUCUCUAGAGUGCAACUUUCAGAAAACUGUAUGUGCCAAAGGGCAAGUGGGAGCAUUCAAAAAGGUCGUAACCCCCUCCCCUGAAGCAAUGAUGACCCCGAGAAGUGGCAGCUACCAAUCAUGAUUCAUUUCUUCUGCACUCACUCCACAUAUUUUAUGCAAAAUCAAUUCAAAAGAUAUUCCAAUUAGUAUCCGUUUUGGAAUUCAUGGUGAUUGUUGAGUACAUUAAUCAUAUAGACAGCUAGUUAUAAACACCUACAAGUAAACUCUUUCAAUCAUUUCUUUAAUUUUCUUUUUAUAUACUUCUGGUUCUAAGUUUUAACUUAUUUAUUGCUAUGGAUUGGCUCCUAGUGGCUUGAUAGAGUAAUUUUGAAACAAUUUUGUUUACAAAUGACAUCCAAAUUUACAUCUUAAAAAAAAAAAACAGUAAGAGAGUAAAAAAUUAAUUUGAAAUUAGUCUAUCCUCCUACCUUCUUUUAGAAAAAGUAAAAAAAGAGGCAAGAUAGACCGUAAACAUCAAAUACACAACUUAGGUAAAGCUAGGCUUGGCAAAAUCCGGGUCCGGUCUGGGUUUUGGUGUUGCCCGGGACCGGACCGGGUGAGAGAAAUGCAAGACCGGACCCGGGUUAAAACCCAAUUUUUCCGGGUGCGGUCCGGGCUUGAGCCCGGCACCUUUC